GCGGCGGGAGCGCGGGGUGCGGAGCCCGGCCGCGCGGCUCGGGGCGGCGCUGAGGCGGGCGGGCGCUGAGGCGGCCGUUUCCUGUCCUGGUGCAUGGUGGUCGGACGGAGGAAUUGUUGGAAAAUUUCUCGGCGAGGUGGACAAUGUUACUAGCUCAGAUAAAUCGAGACUCUCAGGGAAUGACUGAAUUUUCUGGAGGAGGAAUGGAGGCCCAGCACGUGACUCUCUGUCUGACAGAAGCUGUAGCUGUGCAAGAUGGUGACAACUUAGAAAAUAUGGAAGGUGUAAGUUUGCAAGCAGUUACCCUUGCUGAUGGCUCCACAGCUUACAUACAGCACAAUUCUAAAGAUGGUAAAUUGAUGGAUGGCCAAGUGAUUCAACUAGAAGAUGGUUCUGCAGCUUAUGUUCAACAUGUACCCAUGCCUAAAAGUAGGGACAGCUUGCGUCUGGAAGAUGGACAGGCAGUUCAGCUGGAAGAUGGAACUACAGCAUUUAUUCAUCACACCUCCAAAGACAGUUACGACCAGAGUGCAUUACAAGCAGUCCAGUUGGAGGAUGGAACUACUGCCUACAUUCACCACGCAGUACAAAUGCCACAGUCAGAUACCAUUUUAGCCAUUCAAGCUGAUGGCACAGUGGCCGGUCUUCAUACAGGAGAUGCUGCCAUUGACCCAGAUACCAUCAGUGCUUUGGAGCAAUAUGCAGCUAAGGUCUCUAUUGAUGGAAAUGACAGUGUUAGCGGCACAGGAAUGAUAGGUGAAAAUGAACAAGAUAAAAAAAUGCAGAUUGUCUUGCAAGGACAUGGAACAAGAGUGACUGCAAAAUCUCAGCAGAGUGGAGAGAAAGCAUUUCGCUGUGAUUAUGAUGGCUGUGGAAAACUGUACACAACAGCUCACCAUCUUAAGGUACAUGAAAGGUCACACACAGGAGACAGACCGUAUCAGUGUGAACAUCCUGGAUGUGGUAAAGCUUUUGCAACAGGGUAUGGGUUAAAAAGUCAUGUCCGAACACACACUGGUGAAAAGCCGUAUCGGUGCACAGAAGAAAAUUGCACCAAAUCGUUCAAGACUUCAGGAGACCUGCAGAAACACAUUCGAACUCACACAGGUGAAAGGCCCUUUAAAUGUCCUUUUGAAGGAUGUGGCAGGUCGUUCACAACGUCUAAUAUUAGAAAGGUUCACAUCAGGACACAUACAGGCGAAAGACCUUAUUACUGUACAGAGCCAGGAUGUGGGAGAGCUUUUGCCAGUGCAACUAAUUAUAAGAAUCAUGUGAGAAUACACACAGGGGAAAAGCCCUAUGUCUGUACAGUUCCUGGUUGUGAUAAACGUUUUACAGAGUAUUCCAGUUUAUACAAACAUCACGUUGUACAUACUCAUUCCAAACCAUACAACUGUAAUCACUGUGGGAAAACAUACAAGCAGAUUUCUACACUCGCUAUGCACAAGCGGACAGCACAUAAUGACACGGAGCCAAUUGAAGAAGAACAAGAGGCUUUUUUUGAGCCACCUCCAGGUCAAGGUGAAGAUGUUCUCAAAGGCUCACAGAUAGCCUAUGUGACAGGUGUGGAGGGAGAAGAUGUAAUUUCUGCACAGGUUGCUACAGUUACUCAGUCAGGAUUAGGUCAACAAGUAGCACUAAUUUCCCAGGAUGGAACCCAACAUGUCAACAUAUCUCAGGCAGAUAUGCAGGCCAUAGGAAAUACUAUCACUAUGGUAACACAGGAUGGCACCACUAUCACAGUCCCCACCCAUGAUGCUGUCAUCUCUUCUGCGGGAACGCAUUCUGUAGCAAUGGUUACUGCAGAAGGCACUGAAGGACAGCAGGUUGCUAUUGUGGCUCAAGACUUAGCAGCAUUUCAUAGCGCCUCAUCAGAAAUGGGACAUCAGCAACAUGGGCACCAUUUAGUGACUACAGAAACUAGACCUGUUACGUUGUUGGCUACAUCCAAUGGAACACAAAUUGCAGUACAGCUUGGAGAACAACAGUCUCUGGAAGAAGCCAUUAGAAUAGCCUCCAGAAUACAACAGGGUGAAACACCAGGGAUUGAUGAUUAACUUCUAAAACUGCUACCAGAACAAUAGAGCGAAAGUUCUGAGUGCCUGCAGCUACCACUCACUACCUAGGAUAUGCUGAUAAUCAGUGCUUUUGAAAAUCAGGACAGAAGUUACUAGAAAAAAGGGAUUAACUAAUGAUGAUUUUUUGGAAACGGUGGUGGAAGUGAUUUAGCAAAGAAAAAACUUGUUCUUCUCAUUUCCCAGGACAUUUUCUGACCACUGUACAAAUGCUGCAGAGAGGAGCCCUCAAGACCUGCUGUUGUCCGUGCUGUGAAGCAUCCAGAAUAUCCUGCGCUGCCGAGUGGGGGCAGCCCUCAAGGGAGGCAGAACAAGUGCUUCAGGUUUGCCCUGAGGCCUCAGCUCCUGGAGAUCAGCCCAUUGAAAAGGAAACAGCGAACAACAGAAAUAUGGUUAAGUACAAACUUUAUUCUUUAUUGACUGUGUGCUUUAAUGCAUUGUCUUAUCAGGUUUCAGACUCAGACUGUGCUCUUUGUAGAAAUGUCCCCUUUGUAGCAGAUCAGUUUUGGUGGCGAGGCUCGCAGGGGGCACCAGCUAACAUCAUCAGGGCUGUUCUGUUCUGCAGGGUCAGAGCAUCCCACAUAGCCUCCUCACCUCUCAGGAAAGUGAACCUGUGGUGUCGCCCCCAUAUUUAGGGGAUAAGAGACUGGGGAGGCUGACAGGAACUCAGCAUGGAUGUGCACCUGACUUUCUGUGGGUUGCUUGGGCUCCUGUGGCUGUAAACAUCAAGAUUUGUCAGGACCUUUGUUACUCGAGCAGUUUGUUUUAAGGUGAUCUGGUACAGAAGAGAGAUUGGCAGUUUUAUUGGGUUGCAUGUAAUCAAGGUAGUACAAGACAAAAGGAAGUGGGGAGGUGAAGUUGUGGCAUCUGUCAGGGGAUUGCUUGUCUGAUUAAUGGCACCUGCUGCACGUCACAUUUGCUGCGCUGGGACUUUUUGGUCCUUUUUAAAAAGGUCUUGUGGAAACUAUUAGUGACAUCUUGGGCUGCUGUGUUUGAGGCUCCUAUUUCUGGGUGUGUUUAAAUCAGAUGAAUCACUUUAUCUGAAAUGGAUUAGAACACUGAUUAGCUCAAAAAAAAAAAAAAAAGUGUCUUUAACUAGCCUAAAAGGCGUUGUUACCGCUUUAGGGCACACAAAACAGUUGUGGAGUGCAAAAAUUUGGCUGCGAAGCGGGGCGUCCCGCAGCGCACAGGCUGGAGGCAGACGG